rnacentral:tRNA from 1 species
GGAAGUGUGCCUGAAUCAUAGGACCACUUUGAUAGAGCGGAUCAUGAAUGUUAAAGUCAUUCCACUUCUU